rnacentral:rRNA from 1 species
AAUGGGCGCAAGCCUGAUCCAGCCAUGCCGCGUGAGUGAAGAAGGCCUUCGGGUUGUAAAGCUCUUUCAGCUGGAAAAAAAUCGCUUCACCUAAUAGGUGGAGUGGAUGAUGGUACCAGCAGAAGAAGCACCGGCUAACUACGUGCCAGCAGCCGCGGUAAUACGUAGGGUGCGAGCGUUAUCGGAAUUACUGGGCGUAAAGCGUGCGCAGGCGGUUUUGUAAGACAGACGUGAAAUCCCCGGGCUUAACCUGGGAACUGCGUUUGUGACUGCAAGGCUAGAGCAUGGCAGAGGGGGGUAGAAUUCCACGUGUAGCAGUGAAAUGCGUAGAUAUGUGGAGGAAUACCGAUGGCGAAGGCAGCCCCCUGGGUCAAUACAGACGCUCAUGCACGAAAGCGUGGGGAGCAAA